CUGCUGUAAGGAUAAGGAAGGGUCAGUGCCUACAAGAAACAUCAAGGAGGUGUGAAACUCUAGCAGUAUGGAACCCUUGCAAUGUACCAACACAAAUCUGAUUUCACAAGUGUCUGGCCUGCUGAGUGAGAACUGGCACUGACUCCCUGCAAAAACCAAGGCAAGGGAAGGACGGGCACCCCUAUGUGUUUGCAAAAAACAGCAGACUCCUGCAAUUCAGCUGCAUCAAAGCUACAGAGGUAGAUCUGUAGGUAUCUACAAGAAACACCACAACUGUACUGGAAGUGAUAAGGAGAGUGCCUAUGACUUCAGUGGGCAAAGGAUAUCACCAUGAGUCUCUACAGAGAGUAUCACACUUAACACACAACACUUUUCAUAUUUGUCAUGAUAUAUCACAAGGUAAACUUCCAUUGUUUAUUCAGGGUUAGAUUUUUCAGAGACUGAAAACACAGUUAAUAAAUGAAAUUCAACAGAAUAUCCUUUUUAAAAAGCCUAAACAAAUAUCACCUCUUAUUAAUAUGCUG